UACCAGCACCCCGAGUGGUCGGGCCGAUUCUUGGGCCUAAAGCAUCCGUAGCCGGCCUUACCAGUCCCCCGUUAAAUCCAACUGCUUAACAGAUGGGCUGCGGAGGAUACUAUAAGACUAGGAGGCAGGAGAGGCAAGCGGUACUCAGUGGGUAGGGGUAAAAUCCGUUGAUCCAUUGAAGACCACCAGUGGCGAAGGCGGCUUGCCAGAAUGCGCUCGACGGUGAGGGAUGAAAGCUGGGGGAGCAAACCGG
rnacentral:rRNA from 1 species